GAGGGUGCUGCCUCAGCCCCCAGGGACCCCUCGGAAGACCAAGAUGCAGGAGGAAGAGAAAGUGGAACCAGAGCCAGAGACGGAGGCGGAGGUGGAAUCAGAACCGAAUCCUGAGGAGGCCGAGACAGAGUCCGAGUCCAUGCCCCCCGAAGAGUCAUUCAAGGAGGAGGAAGUGGCUGUGGCAGACCCAAGCCCUCAGGAGACCAAGGAGGCUGCCCUUACUUCCACCAUAUCCCUCCGGGCCCAGGGCGCUGAGAUUUCUG
rnacentral:lncRNA from 1 species